GACGAACGCUGGCGGCGCGCCUAACACAUGCAAGUCGAACGAGCGAGAGAGAGCUUGCUUUCUCAAGCGAGUGGCGAACGGGUGAGUAACGCGUGAGGAACCUGCCUCAAAGAGGGGGACAACAGUUGGAAACGACUGCUAAUACCGCAUAAUAUGUAUUUAAGGCAUCUUAGGUACAUCAAAGAUUUAUCGCUGAGAGAUGGGCUCGCGGCCGAUUAGGUAGUUGGUGAGAUAACAGCCCACCAAGCCGACGAUCGGUAGCCGGACUGAGAGGUUGAUCGGCCACAUUGGGACUGAGACACGGCCCAG
rnacentral:rRNA from 1 species